UACAGAGGUCUCAAGCGUUGUUCGGAUUCAUUGGGCGUAAAGGGCGCGUAGGCGGGUCGUUAAGUUGGGGGUGAAAGCCCAGGGCUCAACCCUGGAAUUGCCUUCAAUACUGGCGACCUUGAGUAUGGCAGAGGUGUGUGGAACUCCGAGUGUAGAGGUGAAAUUCGUAGAUAUUCGGAAGAACACCAGUGGCGAAGGCGACACACUGGGCCAUUACUGACGCUGAGGCGCGAAAGCGUGGGGAGCAAACAGG
rnacentral:rRNA from 1 species